rnacentral:rRNA from 1 species
CAUGCAAGUCGAACGGUGACGAAGAGCUUGCUCUUCUGAUCAGUGGCGAACGGGUGAGUAACACGUGAGCAACCUACCCUUGACACUGGGAUAACAGUUGGAAACAGCUGCUAAUACCGGAUAUGAACCUCACAGGCAUCUGAGAGGUUGGAAAGCUCCGACGGUCAAGGAUGGGCUCGCGGCCUAUCAGCUUGUUGGUGAGGUAACGGCUCACCAAGGCGACGACGGGUAGCCGGCCUGAGAGGGCGACCGGCCACACUGGGACUGAGAUACGGCCCAGACUCCUACGGGAGGCAGCAGUGGGGAAUAUUGCGCAAUGGGCGAAAGCCUGACGCAGCAACGCCGCGUGCGGGAUGACGGCCUUCGGGUUGUAAACCGCUUUCAGCGAGGGACGAAACUGACGGUACCUGCAGAAGAAGCACCGGCUAACUACGUGCCAGCAGCCGCGGUGAUACGUAGGGUGCGAGCGUUGUCCGGAAUUAUUGGGCGUAAAGAGCUCGUAGGCGGUCUGCCGCGUCGGAAGUGAAAACUCGGGGCUUAACCCCGAGCCUGCUUUCGAUACGGGCAGACUUGAGGAAUGUAGGGGAGAACGGAAUUCCUGGUGGAGCGGUGGAAUGCGCAGAUAUCAGGAGGAACACCAGUGGCGAAGGCGGUUAAUUGAACAUUAACUGACGCUGAGGAGCGAAAGCGUGGGGAGCAAACAGGCUUAGAUACCCUGGUAGUCCACGCCGUAAACGGUGGGCACUAGGUGUGGGGGACAUUCCACGUUCUCCGUACCGUAGCUAACGCAUUAAGUGCCCCGCCUGGGGAGUACGGCCGCAAGGCUAAAACUCAAAGGAAUUGACAGGGGCCCGCACAAGCGGCGGAGCAUGUUCAUUAAUUCGAUGCAACGCGAAGAACCUUACCUGGGUUUGACAUAUACCGGAAACAUCUGGAGACAGGUGCCCCGCAAGGUCGGUAUACAGGUGGUGCAUGGCUGUCGUCAGCUCGUGUCGUGAGAUGUUGGGUUA